GGUAACAGGAGGACUGCUGCGGCCUAGCCGUGCGGGUACCGCCAUGCCGCCGCGGCGGGGGCCGUGCCUGGGUUACAGCCUGCCCCCUCCACAGGCAUUUAAAUUUUCUGCAGAGAUGGAAGUGAAAAACAAGGGAACAAACAGCACUGCAAGGGAAUAUAUAUUGGAGUGCAUGUCUGAAUACAAUCAGAAUUGGGCAAUUCAGGAAGAGUCAAGAGAUGUAGAAGAGCCCAUUAUUCCUGAUCAGAAACUCAAGUGGAAGUUGAAAAUGCCGAUUAAAAAAUAAAGAAGGAGAAAGAAAGACUUUUUUUUGUCAGUUCUCAAUACUUUUCCAGGAAGUAUUCCUGAGGGAUUUCUGAUCCGACAGAAAUCAAGGAUUAAGACUUUGAACCCUGACGUGCUUGGAUUAUUCGGCCAUGUGGUUUGACCUAAGUUAACUCAGUGAUAGUCAGAGGGGUUUAAAGAAGCAGCAAAUGUGGAGAUGCCCUAAGUCAGAAUGGCUGACUUCAAUAAAAUGAAACAGAAUAUGUGGGACAGCAAUGACAGUCAUAGCUUCUGUUGAGUGGGUUUAUUUUUCAGUCUGGAAGCCAAGAGACUGCACUGCAGACAUUUCUACCUAUUAAAUGAAAUAAAAACAGAACUAAAAUCAUA